UACUAGAGUAGCACUCGCAUAUCAAUAAGCGGAGGAAAAGAAACUAACAAGGAUUCCCCUAGUAACGGCGAGUGAAGCGGGAAGAGCUCAAAUUUGAAAUCUUAAAGGGUUUCCCUUUACGAAUUGUAGUUUAAAGAAGUGUUUUCUGUUGAGGUUUUGGUAAAAGUUCUUUGGAAUAGGACAUCAUAGAGGGUGAGAAUCCCGUAUUUGACCUUUACUUUCAACUUUGUGAUACACUUUCAAAGAGUCGGAUUGUUUGGGAAUGCAGUCCAAAAUGGGUGGUAAAUUUCAUCUAAAGCUAAAUAUUGGCGAGAGACCGAUAGCGAACAAGUACCGUGAGGGAAAGAUGAAAAGAACUUUGAAAAGAGAGUUAAACAGUACGUGAAAUUGUCAAAAGGGAAGCGUUUGACACCAGUGUUGUUUUUCUGAAAAUCAAUUAAAGAACUGUUUAUGCUAAGCUGUUUAGACUUUAUCAGCUAUCUGUUUAGUUUUGAGCUUUUCUUUAAUGCACUUUUCAGUUAACAAGUCAACAUCAAUUUCUUUUGCUGUAAAAAAGCUUGAGGAAGGUGGCUUGAGAUUCGUCUUAAGUGUUUAUAGCCUCUUGCCUAUGCAGUCAGGAGAGAUUGAGGUCUGCAGCGUAGAUCCUUCGGGGCUAAAUGCAUUUGUGCUAAGUUAUAGCAUUUUAUAGACAACUUGUUGACUAUGAUUUGUCUUGUAGCUUACUCGCUUAUGUUAUUUUACCUACGCUUAGGAUGUUGAUCUACAGAGCGAGAGU
rnacentral:rRNA from 1 species